AUUGAACGCUGGCGGCAGGCCUAACACAUGCAAGUCGAGCGGAGCGGCGGACGGGUGAGUAAUGCCUAGGCAUCUGCCUGGUAGUGGGGGAUAACGUCCGGAAACGGGCGCUAAUACCGCAUACUAUCAGAUGAGCCUAGGUCGGAUUAGCUAGUUGGUGGGGUAAAGGCCUACCAAGGCGACGAUCCGUAACUUGUCUGAGAGGAUGAUCAGUCACACUGGAACUGAGACACGGUCCAGACCCCUACGGUAGGCAGCAGUGGGGACUAUGGGACAAUGGGAUAAGGCUUGAUACAGCAAUGUCUGGUGAGUGAAGAAGGUAUUCGGAUUGUAAAGUACUUUUAGUUGAGAGUGGUUAACAACAGAAUAAGGAUCGGCUAACAGCGUGCCAGCAGCCGCGGUAAUUC
rnacentral:rRNA from 1 species